ACUGAAUCUUGCUUGUGGGCGUGUGUGCUGCGAGUUUGUAGUAUGUCGGUGAAUUUCUAAAUCCUCGUACGAAGACGUCAUCAGCGAUUCGUCGGACACAAACUGGGUGCUGUUCGAUUAUGACAAACAGACGAACGACGUAAAAGUGAUUGAGACUGGAGAUGGGAGCAUCGAGGAAUUGGGCAAAGAGUUUAGCGACAGUAAAAUACAAUACGGAUGGUGCAAAGUGACCGAUCCAAACACCA